GCGGGUGUAGCUCAAUGGCAGAGCUCCAGCCUUCCAAGCUGGCCAUGCCGGUUCGAUCCCGGUCACCCGCUCCA
rnacentral:tRNA from 1 species